AAGACCCGACUCUCGCGGAAGGGGUGUAUUUAUUAGAUACAAAACCAAUGCCCUUCGGGGCUCUUUGGUGAUUCAUGAUAACUAUACGAAUCGCACGGCCUUGCGCCGGCGAUGGUUCAUUCAAAUUUCUUCCCUAUCAACUUUCGAUGUUUGGGUAUUGGCCAAACAUGGUUGCAACGGGUAACGGAGGGUUAGGGCUCGACCCCGGAGAAGGAGCCUGAGAAACGGCUACUACAUCCAAGGAAGGCAGCAGGCGCGCAAAUUACCCAAUCCCGACUCGGGGAGGUAGUGACAAUAAAUACUGAUACAGGGCCCUUUCGGGCCUUGUAAUUGGAAUGAGUACAAUUUAAAUCCCUUAACGAGGAACAAUUGGAGGGCAAGUCUGGUGCCAGCAGCCGCGGUAAUUCCAGCUCCAAUAGCGUAUAUUAAAGUUGUUGUGGUUAAAAAGCUCGUAAAAAACCAUGGGCCUGACUGGCCGGUCCGACUCACCGAGGCAAGGUCCAGCCGGGCCUUUCCAACAAUAGAAUACAAAACCUUAAAGAACGUGGAAAGGAAAUAGGAAAUUAAUUUAUAAAA
rnacentral:rRNA from 1 species